AUACAUUCAACUCAGAGCAUUUCCUGGAGAAUGGACAGUUUAAGAAAAGGGAAUCCUUUCUACCUUUCUCACUGGGAAAACGUGGAUGCCUUGGAGAACAGCUGGCUAGGUCUGAGCUGUUUAUUUUCUUCACUUCCCUUCUGC